GACGGGGCCGGGCGGCCGGCGGCCGCCGCGCUCGCCUGACCUGCGUGCCCCGCUGGCCGCGCCGGGCUGCCCCGAAGGAUGUCCGCCCAGUCCAAGGGGACCGUAUCCUCCUCCUCGUCGCCGUCCGAGGGGCCGCCGGCAGCCUCCAAAGCCAAGGUGAAGGAGCAGAUCAAGAUCAUCGUGGACGAUUUGGAAUUAGUCCUGGGGGACCUAAAAGAUGUCGCCAAGGAACUUAAGGAGGUGGUUGACCAGAUUGACACGCUGACAUGUGAUCUKCAGCUGGAGGAUGAGAUGACAGACAGCUCCAAAACAGACACACUCAACAGCAGCUCCAGCAGCACGACGGCUUCCAGCCUGGAGAAGGUGAAGGUUCGGGGGAACGCGCCGCUGAUCAAGCCUCCCGCGCACCCCUCGGCCAUCCUGACGGUGCUGCGCAAGCCGAACCCGCCGCCGCCKCCGCCGCGGCUCACCCCGGUCAAAUGCGAUGAGCCGCCCAGACCGCCCCCCCUGGCCAACCCCCUCAAGACUAAUGGCACCCUGCUGAGGAACGGGGGCCUGCCCGCGGCGCCCGGCCGCAUUCCCAACGGAGACAUGUGYUGUAUAGCGAGCAGUAACCUGGAGAAGGCGGUGAUGCAGCCGCUGCUGCACAGAGCGGACAAGGAGCGCUGUCCGCAGGCGGGAGCGAGGGAGCGGGUGCGCUUCAGCGAGAAGGUGCAGUACCACGGCUACUGCCCCGACUGUGACGUUCGGUACAACAUUAAAAACAGGGACGUGCACUUGCACAGCGAGUCGGCCCGUGGUGCCGGAAAGCUGCCGCACCAGUGCCCUCCUCUGCCGCCUCCACCACCUCCGUUGCCUCCGUUUCUUCUGGAAAAUGGAGGGUUGGGGAUAAGUCCCAGUAAUAGCUUUCCUCCUCCGAGACCUGCAACUGUGCCUCCACAAACUGCGCCAAAACCCCAGAAGACCAUCUUGAGGAAAUCAACCACUACAACAGUGUGAAGUAUGCCCCUUGUAAUAACUCUUUGUUUUUUCCUAUAUAUAAACAUAAAUAGGUAAUGAGCACUUUCUACUUGAGCAAUAAAAAGACCCAAUGUAUUACACCCUGUGUCCAGUGAAGUGGCAUAAAAAUCACAUGCACCUUCAGGCUUGAAGGAAUAUCUAUAUUUGGAGGCACGUCAAUUAAUUUCUUGCAUAUCAGAUUCAUCAUUGUGACUUCUUGCAGGCCAGAUCUGAGAAGUGACCAGGAACCUGACCCUUAGUGGAGAAUGGAAAAACCCUUCAAGUCAGAGCCCAGCUGAUCACUGGUGUAAUCUGCAUUGAACCAUCUUUUUCAGAUCUGACAGCUACAAGCUGAGUCCUGGCAAAAGCCACAGCCUUAAAUUCCAUUCAGUGGGAAAGAAGGAUAAGAGAACUAAAUGUCUUGCCCCAAUGCAGAAACCGCUGUCUCCAAGCCUGACACCCGAGUUCUGUGCUGAGCAACCAGAGUACCAAACAACGAGUUUUUUAUGGGUACAGCCAGCAUCCACAAAUAUUUCAAUAUGUAGCCAAAAGGAGAAGCAAAGCACUCAUGUGAUUUCAGAAAGUGAAUACAUUUAUCAUAACAGAGGAAUGUUACUGUCUGAGGGGAAGAAGACCUCUGUCAUCCCUUGUAUAUAUUCAAAGCCAUACAGGAACAGGGCAUAAGUGAAGUUCAGUCACCUGAAAGGAUGCUGUCUCCUGUCCUCCACCCAACUUUGAGGAAGUUCCACUCCUAGAGAUUGCAUCUCGAUGCACUUCUAAUAUUUGCACUGUCCCCUCCAUUCAGGGUAAUGAURUGUGCCACCAUUUGCACAGAUGGCCCCAGGAGAUUUUUCACCACAACAAGCUAUACUUUGCCAGGGCUCCAAAAGGAAUUAAAAAGUUAGAACUGAAGAAAGACAUUUAUGCUCUCUUUCACUAUGGGGAUCUCUUCACAGAAAGGACUAUGGUCCUUUCUUAGGAUGAAAUAAAUACGUGCAUAUACAUACAUAUAUACAUAUGUAUAUAUAUGAAAAAAGCAGCAACAUGGUAAGGUGUAUUUAAAAAGGGGAUAUAAUCUUUUUUAAUAGCAUCCAUUUUUUUUUAUCAUAUUAGCAGCUGAAAAUUUUAGUCUAUUGAAUUAUACAUCAGAAAAUGUUCCUAUUGAACAUUGACAUUUUAGUCCCAUUUACUGCUAAAGAAGUCAUUUGUAAUAUGUACUUGACAUAAAAUUUUUCUAGCCAUUUGUCUAUACUUCAUGGAGAAAUCUAACAAAUAAGCAACAUUUUCAGUUUAUUUUUCUAAAUAAAUGUGUUGUUUGUGUUAUUUGCAGUCACUCAUUUUGGCUGGUUUUCAUUAUCUCCAAAAGUGAUUUAAGGACAGAACCAAAACACAGGAAUUGUUUGUUCUUGUUAAGCUGUAAUGAUUUGCUGAAUGAAAGCUUUAAUAUAAAUAGUGUAAUUUGUAAAAUGAUGAAGUAUAUUUAUAUAGGCAAAUAUGUAUGGAAAACAAAAGGAGGUAUUUUAACUCUUAAUUUCAGAACAUAGUUUAUUUUAAUAUCCACAGGAAGAAAUUAAAUAUAUAAUGGGAUAGGGUUUUUAUUAUCRGUGAGUUUUAGUAAGUGAACAUUUGGAUGUUUAAGAAUGAAAUGAAUGUAGUCUAAUAAUGGUGGUUUUCCAAAUUAUACAGAAACCUUUUGCCAGCUGUCUCAUUUUACUUUAAAACUGAUUUAGUCAUUCGGGGGGUUGGGUUUUUCUGGGGUGUGUGUGUGCUAGGGUUUUUGUUUGGUGUUUUGUUUGUUUUGGCAUACUGACAAGACCAUUAAUUUGAUACUAUUUGCUCAUAAUUUGAAAAUCUACACAGCAAGAGGUUGUUUCUUAGAACAAUCAACACUUUACAGUGAAGAACAGUCAUUGUUACCCAUCUAAUGCAGUGUUUUGUUGUUGUUAUUGAACACUUCAGUGCUAGGGCUGUUUUGAGUAAAAAAAAUUUUUUUUUUAGUCCAGUAGCCUAUGUGUAAUUUUAAGAGAAAUGUAGUGCAUUUGGUCCCCAGUUCAUUUAAAUCAUUAAUCUUAAAUCCAGUUAUAUGUAUCUGAUUUAUAAAGUUGAAUAGACUUUUCUUUCAGUUCAUUGCUUUAGGGAACCAUUUAAGUGGUCACUAACAGAAAAAAAUACCUUUCAAUAACAAAAGUUAAUAAAAUUAAAAUCUGGGGUUAACUUUGUGAAGGGCAGAUAUCUUACAAGUGUGUUGCUCUGCUCUAAUGUGCUAACAAGUGUUCUGCGUGUAUGUUYGUGUGUGUGUGCACGCAUGGCACCCUUACCUGCUCAUGAAUGAAAUGCCAGCUCUGCUCAAGUAAGUGCCACAAGUCCUGUCACUGCAAAAGAUGCUCAUGUGACUGUAUUUUUUGGUGAAAAACCUGAGCUCUGUCUUUACUUAUGACUCUGAAGCCAUAAACAGCUUAUGAAGUUUGYCAGGAAAUCAGAAAAUUAAAUAAGUUUAUGUAAGACUCCUUCAUUUGGCAAAACUUGGGAUGAUCUUAUGAUUUGACUCUUUUUAUGAAAGUUAGUGGUCAAUUACCUUUGGUGCAAUGGAUAAAUGAAACCUUUGUAUUUGUUAAAGAAUGAUGGCUGUGUUUUGUUCACACGCAUUUUAGCUUUUGGGUGGGUUGUAAUGUUCUUACUGUGGUGUCAUUUCUGUGUCAUUAGAAUACCUUAUUUGGACACACAACUGGCAUGGGCUUGGUUUUCCUCCCUUUUUGGAUAGUCUAUAUUUUAAAAUUGGAAAGCUUGUUCUUUGAAACAAGUAUUCAGUUGUUUAGGGAAGAGAUAAAAGUACUGAAACAAUAAGAAAAUUUCAGAAUGGGAAUUUGAACACUUCCAUUAUUGCCUAAUGAUAACACUUGGCAAAGCUCUUAUUUUUGUGAACAAAAUGCAUUCAUCUGUAUUUGAAAAUAACCCAAUAAAAAUCCAGUGGAAUAAUUUGUUACUACUUGCAAAUACUUUUCUGCUAUGCUGAGUUCCAGAUCAGCUUGUGUGUAAAAUUUUUAUUGCACAAAAUCCACCUGAAACAAUGCACAGUUUUCUUCAGAAAAAAUAUAUGAGAUAUGAAAAAUAAUGACCUGGUCACAGGAGUGGUUUUAUAUUAUGUGUGCAAUGCAAAAAUAAUGAACAUAUACCAACAUGUAGGCCUAAUUUAAUYGACAAAUGUAGUUGGAAGAUAACACUGCAAACCAUAGUUUUCAUCAGUCUAAUGCUGUUAUAUUAGUUAUGCUUAACUGGGACUUCGUGCUGGRAAGUAAAUUUCAGCAUGUGUGCACACAGGUGCCGUGUCAUGUAUCAUGUUUAUUUUACUACAAGUGUCACU